rnacentral:rRNA from 1 species
UACGAGGGGGCAAGCGUUGUUCGGAAUUAUUGGGCGUAAAGGGCGCGUAGGCGGUGCGGUAAGUCACCUGUGAAACCUCUAGGCUUAACCUAGAGCCUGCAGGCGAAACUGCCGUGCUUGAGGGUGGGAGAGGUGCGUGGAAGUCCGGUGUAGCGGUGAAAUGCGUAGAUAUCGGGAGGAACACCUGUGGCGAAAGCGGCGCACUGGACCACAUCUGACGCUGAGGCGCGAAAGCUAGGGGAGCAAACAGG